GUGGGGAAUUUUGGACAAUGGGCGCAAGCCUGAUCCAGCAAUGCCGCGUGCAGGAAGAAGGCCUUCGGGUUGUAAACUGCUUUUGUACGGAACGAAACGGUCCGGGUUAAUACCCUGGGCUAAUGACGGUACCGUAAGAAUAAGCACCGGCUAACUACGUGCCAGCAGCCGCGGUAAUACGUAGGGUGCAAGCGUUAAUCGGAAUUACUGGGCGUAAAGCGUGCGCAGGCGGUUUUGUAAGACAGGCGUGACAUCCCCGGGCUCAACCUGGGGAUUGCGCUUGUGACUGCAAGGCUGGAGUGCGGCAGAGGGGGAUGGAAUUCCGCGUGUAGCAGUGAAAUGCGUAGAUAUGCGGAGGAACACCGAUGGCGAAGGCAAUCCCCUGGGCCUGCACUGACGCUCAUGCACGAAAGCGUGGGGAGCAAACAGGAUUAGAUACCCGAGUAGUCC
rnacentral:rRNA from 1 species